rnacentral:rRNA from 1 species
AGUGAACGCUGGCGGUAGGCCUAACACAUGCAAGUCGAACGGCAGCACAGUAAGAGCUUGCUCUUACGGGUGGCGAGUGGCGGACGGGUGAGGAAUACAUCGGAAUCUACUUUUUCGUGGGGGAUAACGUAGGGAAACUUACGCUAAUACCGCAUACGACCUACGGGUGAAAGCAGGGGAUCUUCGGACCUUGCGCGAUUGAUUGAGCCGAUGUCGGAUUAGCUAGUUGGCGGGGUAAAGGCCCACCAAGGCGACGAUCCGUAGCUGGUCUGAGAGGAUGAUCGGCCACACUGGAACUGAGACACGGUCCAGACUCCUACGGGAGGCAGCAGUGGGGAAUAUUGGACAAUGGGCGCAAGCCUGAUCCAGCCAUACCGCGUGGGUGAAGAAGGCCUUCGGAUUGUAAAGCCCUUUUGUUGGGAAAGAAAAGCAGCAGAUUAAUACCCCGCUGUUCUGACGGUACCCAAAGAAUAAGCACCGGCUAACUUCGUG